rnacentral:misc_RNA from 1 species
UUGCAGGAUCAACCAGGUAGCAUUCCUCACGGACGUCGGGUCGCAAGGCGCCAAUCGCCAGUGCGACGCCCACGGUCGUUCGAACGUGGCGUGUGCCGCCGUUUCGUGGGCGAUCAGAGGCCGGGGGCCUCGUGCCCGCAACGUUUUCCGCAUCCCACAGAGAACGGGCGAGGACUCGUGCGCCACGGCACCCGACGCGAGGCGUGGGCAGCGUGGAGCACGGGAGCCGCCUUAAGGUUCACCCGAAGCCGCACCGUGCAAACGGGCAGCGCUAGCCGAACGGGACAACGAUAGGCCAACGAGAAUUCCGUUGGUGUAGGUACGCAACACAGGAAACCGACGGGCACGGCCAAGGCUAACAACGCUCUUGGGCCAACGAAUGAGGAGGAACGCACGGUGGGACGUCGAUGCCCAAGCAAGGAUCCAACCAACCCAUACAAGA